rnacentral:rRNA from 1 species
GAUGAACGCUAGCGGCAGGCUUAACACAUGCAAGUCGAGGGGUAGAGGAAGCUUGCUUCCUUGAGACCGGCGCACGGGUGCGUAACGCGUAUACAAUCUACCUUUUACAGAGGGAUAGCCCCAGAGAAAUUUGGAUUAAUACCUCAUAGUAUUUUCGGAUCGCAUGAUUUGAUUAUUAAAGUUCCAACGGUAAAGAUGAGUAUGCGUCCCAUUAGCUAGAUGGUAAGGUAACGGCUUACCAUGGCAAUGAUGGGUAGGGGUCCUGAGAGGGAGAUCCCCCACACUGGUACUGAGACACGGACCAGACUCCUACGGGAGGCAGCAGUGAGGAAUAUUGGACAAUGGGCGCAAGCCUGAUCUAGCCAUGCCGCGUGCAGGAAAUAAGGUCCUAUGGAUUGUAAACCUGCUUUAUACAGGAAGAAACACACCCUUGUGAGGGUACUUGACGGUACCUGUAUGAAUAAGGACCGGCUAACUCCGU